CCUUUUUCCAAUUGAACAGCUUCAGAAAGCAAGGGAAGCUUUCAGCCAGGAUCCUACUAAUGGCUAAGCUGAAGCAAUUGACUCAGGCAAAUCCACUCAUUGGUGACAAGCUUCAAUUUCCUACCCUGCAGAAGUCCAGACUAGAAACACUAGUCAAACUGAGCUUAAAUUGGCAGAUUCAGUAGCGCGAUAAUGAAGGAUCUAAUCAUAAACUGUCCGAGAAUCUUCUAUAUGAGGACCCUAACUGUGAUCAAGCAACUCACACCAUCUCCUAUAGCUCAUGCAGUUGGAGAGGGAAUCAAGGCUUUUCUUUGAUAUCAAGUAUUUCAAAGAAUGUGUGAGCAAUAGAGACUGGAAGGAGGUGGAGAAGUACUUAUCACGGUUCACAAAUGCAAAUGAUAACCCUGAAUCCUUUAGCAUUUUCUUUGAGAUCAGAAGGCAGAAUUAUUAUGAAGUACAUGACAAAAGUGAUCAUAAAAUGAUGCUGGACAUUCUUAAAA